AAGAAUUAGUCAGGGCUGCCAACACCCCGACGGAGAAGUUGAGGUCAACAUCUAAUUUGAAAUAUUAAAAGUGGAUACAAAACUAUUUCCGCAAUGCAGACAAUUAAGUGUGCUGUUGUUGGUGAUGGUGCUGUUGGUAAAACAUGUCUCCUGAUAUCCUAUACAACAAACAAAUUCCAUCGGAAAAUGUACCAUUUUCGACAACUAUGCAGUUACAGUUAUGAUUGGUGGAGAGCCAUAUACUCUUGGACUUUUUUAUACUACAGGGCAAGAGGAUUAUGACAGAUUACGACCGCUGAGUUAUCCACAAACAUACGUUUUUCUAGUAUGCUUUUCAGUGGUUUCUUCAUCCUCAUUUGAAAACAUGAAAGAAAAGUGGGUGCCUGAGAUAACUCACCACUGUCCAAAGACUCCUUUCUUGCUUGUUGGGACCCAAAUUGAUCUCAGAGAUGAUCCCUCUACUAUUGAGAAACUUGCCAAGAAAAAAAAAAGCCUAUCGCUCCAGAGACUGCUGAAAAGCUGGACCAGGAUUUGAAGGCUGUCAAGUAUGUGGAAUGCUCUGUUCUCACACAGAAAGGCCUAAGGAAUGUGUUUGAUGAAGCAAUAUUGACUGCCCUGGAACCUCCAGAACCAAAGAAGAGCCGCAGGUUCUACAGAAACCCGCUGUGACAGGUACAUAGGCAU